UACGAAGGGGGCUAGCGUUGUUCGGAAUUACUGGGCGUAAAGGGCGCGUAGGCGGUGUGUCAAGUCAGGCGUGAAAUCCCCGAGCUCAACUCGGGAACUGCGUCCGAUACUGGCGGGCUUGAAUCCGGGAGAGGGAUGCGGAAUUCCAGGUGUAGCGGUGAAAUGCGUAGAUAUCGUUUGGAACGCCAAUGGUGAAAACAGCUCGCUGGGGAUGUACCGACGCUGAGACACGAAAGCCAGGGGAGCGAACGGG
rnacentral:rRNA from 1 species